GGGGGUAUAGGUUUGUAGUAGUAUGGAGGAGGUGGUGAUGGUGAGGGUGGAGGAGGUGACUCAUAAACAUAAGGUGGUGGUGGAGGGGAUUUGUAGACAUAUUGUGGAGGAGGAGGUGAUUCGUAAACAUAUGGAGGAGGUGGCGGUGACUUGUAGACAUAUGGUGGUGGAGGUGGCGACUUGUAUACAUAUGGUGGGGUGGUGAUGGAGAUGGUGGAGGAGGAGACUUGUAGACAUAUGGAGGUGGGGUGUACACAUAUGGUGGGGGAGGUGGCGACUUGUAGAUAUAUGGAGGAGGUGGUGAUGGUGGAGGAGGAGAUGGGUAAACAUAAGGUGGAGGAGGUGGUGACUUAUACACAUAUGGAGGAGGUGGGGGUGAUUUGUAGAUAUAUGGAGGAGGAGGCGAUGGUGGAGGAGGAGAUGGGUAAACAUAAGGUGGAGGAGGUGGUGAUUUGUAUACGUAUGGAGGAGGUGGUGAUGGUGGAGGAGGAGACGGGUAAACGUAAGGUGGAGGAGGUGGUGACUUGUACACAUAUGGAGGAGGUGGGGGUGACUUGUACACAUAUGGAGGAGGUGGUGAUGGUGGAGGAGGAGACGGGUAAACAUAAGGUGGAGGAGGUGGUGACUUGUACACGUAUGGAGGAGGUGGGGGUGACUUGUACACAUAUGGAGGAGGUGGCGGUGACUUGUAUACAUACGGAGGAGGUGGUGAUGGUGGAGGAGGAGACGGGUAAACGUAAGGUGGAGGAGGUGGUGACUUGUACACGUAUGGAGGAGGUGGGGGUGACUUGUAUACAUAUGGAGGUGGCGGUGAUGGUGGAGGAGGAGACGGGUAAACAUAAGGUGGAGGAGGUGGUGACUUGUACACAUAUGGAGGAGGUGGUGGUGAUUUAUAGACAUAAGGAGGUGGUGGUGAUGGAGAUGGUGGUGGUGGAGAUUUGUAGUAAUAUGGUGGUAAUUUGUAAUCAUAAGGAGGUGGCGGUGACGGGGGUGGAGGUUUAUAGUAAUUAUAUGGAGGGAACUUAUGGUCAUAUGGUGGUGGAGAUUUAUAGUUAUAUGGAGGGAAUUUGUGUUCAUAUGGAGGUGGAGAUUGAUAAUUGUAUGGAGGGAAUUUGUAGGCAAAUGGAGGUGGUGGUGAUGGUGGUGGAGAUUUAUAGUAAUUAUAUGGAG
rnacentral:lncRNA from 1 species